CAGCCGUCGGUCGCUGGUAAUUCCACUUUUUCGACGCGAGUUUCAAAUUGCCGGUGCUUGUUGUGUUGUGUUUUCGUCGCGAUUAUGAAAAACACCCUCCUCCUCACCACCCCCCCCACCCGCCGCAAACGGAAUUUUAAUAAUUGAAAUAUGAAACAUCCAUACGGUCUCUGCCUAAUUCCAUCCACAUCCACUGAUCGACAAGCGUUCUUUUGGUGUUUGCCAUGGAAAAAAACGGAAACCCCGGGUAUCAGUAAUUUGCCCGGACCGUUUUUUUCGUUAUGCUUUCAGAUUUCUUUUUUCGGGAUCCCGCCUUAUUGUGUUAUUGUUUCAGACACGAAAAUGGCAACGGCGAUGUCGCCACUUCGACCAGCAGCACUCGGAUAACACUUAUCGAUAGACUGACCGGAUUUAAUCGACGUUACGAGGAUGUCGGCAAUGCUUUUGGGAGUCCAUUGUGAGUCGUUAUAGUUCAAUAUGAUAAUAAUUGCCUUUGAAUUGUCCGGUGAACAAAAAAAAACAUUGUUUUCGAUUAUUAUCACAUGCCUGUCUUUGUUGAGCAAUGUUUAAUCAUUCU